rnacentral:lncRNA from 1 species
GCUUCACAGAUGAAGGCCAAGUAAAGAUAUUCCCAGAUAACCAAAGAUGGAGAGAGUCUUCUGCUCGCAGACACACCUUAUAAGAAAUACAAAAGGGAGUGCUUUAGGCUGAAAGGAAGUGACACCAGAUGAUACUCAAAUCCACAGUAAGAAUGAAGAGUUCCUGAAAUGAAAGAAAACUGGAACAGGAGUGAAAAGACUGAAUUCUUAUGCCAGCUGUGUGAUCUCAGACUGCAGUUUGAUGAGUUUGGACUAACGCAUACCUGCUGUGCCCACCACCACAAGCAAGAGAGAACAUUUCCAUGACCUCCAAAGUCCCUCAUGCCCCUUUUACCAUCAAGCCCUUCUCACAUCCAUGACCCUAGGCACUACUGCUCUGCUUUUGAUCAUGACCAUUUUGCCUUUUCCAGAAUCUCAUAUAAAUGAAAUCAUACACUGUGUAGUCUUUUGUGUCUGUUUUACUUAUGACGUUUCUGAAUUCAUCAACGUUUUACUUAUGAUGUUUCUGAAUUCAUCCACGUUGUUGCGUGUAGCAGUAGUCUUCCAGUGAAUGAGUAUGUCACAAUUGGUUUAUCCAUUAACCAAUUGAUGGGCACUUGGGAUGUUUCCAGUCUGGGGCUAUUAUGAAUAAAGCUACUGAGAAAAUUCAUGUAACAAGUAAAUCUUUGUGUAGACAUGUUUUAAUUUCUGUUGGAUAAAUAUGUAAGAAUGGGAUUUCCAGGUCAUAUAGUAACUUUAUAAGAAGCUGCCAAACUGUUUUCCAAAGUGGCUGCAUCAUUUUUGCAUUCCCACCAGCAAUGUAGGAAAGUUCCAGCAGCUCCACAUCCUUAUCAACACUUCUUAUUGCCAGUCUCUAAUUUUGGCAUUCCACUGAAUGUUUAACGAUAUUUCACUCUGGUUUUCAUUUGCAUCUCCCUAAUGACUAAAUAAUGUUGAGCCUCUUUUCAUGUGCUUAUUUGUCAUUCAUUUAUUUUCUUCGACGAAGCGUCUAUCUAAAUCUUUCGUAUUUUUCAAAAGAUGGAGUCAUUUGUCUUCUUAUCAUUUAAUUUUGAGUUCUUUUUUGGACACAAAGCUUUUAUUAGCCACAUGUUUU